rnacentral:rRNA from 1 species
CAGCCGCCACGGUAAUACAGAGGGUGCGAGCGUUAAUCGGAUUUACUGGGCGUAAAGCGUGCGUAGGCGGCUUCUUAAGUCGGAUGUGAAAUCCCUGAGCUUAACUUAGGAAUUGCAUUCGAUACUGGGAAGCUAGAGUAUGGGAGAGGAUGGUAGAAUUCCAGGUGUAGCGGUGAAAUGCGUAGAGAUCUGGAGGAAUACCGAUGGCGAAGGCAGCCAUCCGGCCUAAUACUGACGCUGAGGUACGAAAGCAUGGGGAGCAAACAGGAUUAGAUACCCGAGAGUCCCUGUCUCUUAUACA